rnacentral:ncRNA from 1 species
AGGUGCCCGUACCGCAAACCGACACAGGUAGGCGAGGAGAGAAUCCUAAGGUGAGCGAGUGAACUCUCGUUAAGGAACUCGGCAAAAUGACCCCGUAACUUCGGGAGAAGGGGUGCUCUUUGGGGUGCAUAGCCCUGAGGAGCCGCAGUGAAUAGGCCCAGGCGACUGUUUAGCAAAAACACAGGUCUCUGCGAAGCCGCAAGGCGAAGUAUAGGGGCUGACGCCUGCCCGGUGCUGGAAGGUUAAGAGGAGGGGUUAGCUUACGCGAAGCUCUGAAUUGAAGCCCCAGUAAACGGCGGCCGUAACUAUAACGGUCCUAAGGUAGCGAAAUUCCUUGUCGGGUAAGUUCCGACCCGCACGAAAGGCGUAACGAUCUGGGCACUGUCUCAACGAGAGACUCGGUGAAAUUAUAGUACCUGUGAAGAUGCAGGUUACCCGCGACAGGACGGAAAGACCCCGUGGAGCUUUACUGCAGCCUGAUAUUGAAUUUCGGCACAGCUUGUACAGGAUAGGUAGGAGCCUUUGAAACCGGAGCGCCAGCUUCGGUGGAGGCGUCGGUGGGAUACUACCCUGGCUGUGUUGAACUUCUAACCCGCACCCGUGAUCCGGGUGGGAGACAGUGUCAGGCAGGCAGUUUGACUGGGGCGGUCGCCUCCUAAAGAGUAACGGAGGCGCCCAAAGGUUCCCUCAGAAUGGUUGGAAAUCAUUCGCAGAGUGUAAAGGCACAAGGGAGCUUGACUGCGAGACCUACAAGUCGAGCAGGGACGAAAGUCGGGCUUAGUGAUCCGGUGGUUCCGCAUGGAAGGGCCAUCGCUCAACGGAUAAAAGCUACCCCGGGGAUAACAGGCUUAUCUCCCCCAAGAGUCCACAUCGACGGGGAGGUUUGGCACCUCGAUGUCGGCUCAUCGCAUCCUGGGGCUGUAGUCGGUCCCAAGGGUUGGGCUGUUCGCCCAUUAAAGCGGUACGCGAGCUGGGUUCAGAACGUCGUGAGACAGUUCGGUCCCUAUCCGUCGCGGGCGCAGGAAAUUUGAGAGGAGCUGUCCUUAGUACGAGAGGACCGGGAUGGACGCACCGCUGGUGUACCAGUUGUCUUGCCAAAGGCAUCGCUGGGUAGCUAUGUGCGGACGGGAUAAGUGCUGAAAGCAUCUAAGCAUGAAGCCCCCCUCAAGAUGAGAUUUCCCAUAGCGUCAAGCUAGUAAGAUCCCUGAAAGAUGAUCAGGUAGAUAGGUUCGAGGUGGAAGCGUGGCGACACGUGGAGCUGACGAAUACUAAUCGAUCGAGGACUUAUCCUA